UUAAUUCUCGCUCCUUGGAGUUUCGCCACUUCAUGCGUCGAUUUUGAAACCAUAUCUUCACCUGGAAGAGAGAACCGGAAAAGUUAAGCCUUCUGAUGUGAAGUCGUCUCCUUUUGAGGGCGGAAGAAGGUGUGGUGAUGAAUUCAUUUGAGUCUGCCAAAAAGAGAACUCUGAGAACCAAGUUGGGGGUUUGCGAGCUUUUCGGACAAAAGUAUCUCGGGGGAAAUCAAACAUGCUUUUUUACAAAAUUUCCUCCGUUUGGUCUCGAUUAGAAAAUGACUUCAAGUUUCACAACACUACCAAGGGUAAACUGGCUUCAAGAGCUGCUGGUGGUCCUUUCGGGACGAGAAAAAUGAUGUCCUGAAUGAAAAGAAACAGUCAUUUGUCAUGAACAACGACGACGACUUGCUCGGAGAUCACACUCAAGGUUCAGGCAGUCUUUGAGAUGAAAGUCAAAUCAAACGCCCCAGUACAUUCAUCGGCGCUAGCGAUCUUCUCCAAGAUAAGCAAAACGACAAAUCCGACAGUAUCGUACUAUGGGCAGAGAGAGAGAGAGAGAGCAUCCGUUUUCUUUUCUCAUUUUACCCAAUUUUGCUCCGGGACACACAAAAACUCGGUUUCGAUGACAAAACGACGCGAAAAAAUUGAUGGAUGAUCUUGAUCAAUUUGGGUUCCAAAAGCGUGAACAAUCCGAUAUCCUCCGAUCGUGAUACCACCAUCGCCGCCAUCAUCAUCAUCACUAUCAUCCCAAUCCAGGCACAUAGUGCAGCACAAUGGUUGGUUGCACACUUGGAUGCACUUCAUUCAGUCACAUUUUGUGAAAUGGAGCAGCACUCUGUUUGAAAAUAAGUCCUGAUGGCUCGUGACAAAGCUGUUUGCACUCCAUCAUCAUCAUCAUUCUACAAAAGAGAACAAGAUGGGAGUCACAAAAGUUGGACCUUCUCGGGCGAAGAGGGUGUCUCACGCGGCUGCCCACAUCGAAUUGGACGGCGAAGGAUCAAUUCAAACACCCUGUGGGGCUCAUCCAUCUCAGUGGGAGGUACAGGCGAGGGCAAUUUUCUAUUUUCAAGCCUGAUUUGUUGACAGGAAUGCUUGCAACUCAAUUCGGCCUCACUUUGGAAGAGUGAGCGAUCCUACCGACAGCCAGCUACCAUUAGGUUGCAAUCAAUGAAAAAAGGUUGGAUGAGAGAAAAGACACGUCGUUGGGCUUGAUGAUGGAUUUUCAUUCUGAGGCGAGGCAGAUGUGACAUUCAAGACCUUCUCCGCUGACCCUAGUAAGAGAAUAGUCAACGAAGAAGGACCAUUGGCUUCAAUUUGAUGGAUUGGACGGCUGUUGACACAAGGAUACUUUGGGAGGGUAUUGUGGGCAAGCUGUUAUGCACUUCUUGGAUGGAAGCUCCAAAGGGACCCCAAUGGACUUGCGAGUCAAAAUAAUCGCUACUGAUCUCUCCCCAUUGACUGCGAACACUCACCAACCAUCUAACCAUUGUUCUGGAGGAGAUGGGCAAAAUUUAGGAUUCUCUCCCACUGAUCAUCAAACGGAAAAUUGUAAGACAGAAAAGGGACACUCAAAGCGAUAAAUACAUCAAAUGAGUUUGAAUAAUAAGUAAUAAUAAGUAUCAAUUCAAGUGCAAUUUUUGUAGCUUUCUAGUGGAAGGAUUGAUUCGGAGAUAUCAUUUUUUAUUGUUUGAACCACUCAUACAUCAAGUUUGAUGAUAAAGACUUUGGGUUAAGAAAUUGUAACGGAAAA